GGGAGAGGAGCAUUUGUGUCUUCCUCGUUUCAGGUCCUGAUUCCAAGAAGAGAAAUUUGGUGGGGUGAGAAGGAAAAACAAGACUGAAAGAAGAAAAGCCCCAUGACAGCCAUUUAAAACACAAUCAGACCUUGUUUAUGUGAUUCGGACUCCUGGCUUUCUCUUCAAAAAUGCGUAUGAAUAAAGAAAAUACCUUGAGAACCUAAUAAUAGUGCCCCGAAACCUGAGAUCCACCUCUCAUCUUUCUAAUUCUUGGGAACACACUUAAUAAGAAUGUGUUGCGGUGAGAAGAUUUGGAUGAAAAAAAUUCCAAAAAAAGAGAAAAAGUCAGGUAGAUGGUAAACUCCAUGAGUCCAGGGACCAUAUCUCUUUUUAAAAUUUGCCAUAUCCUGGAGCCUCGCCUAGUGUCUAGUUUCUCAUAGGUGCUGAACAUGUUCUUGUUGAAGAUACUAAAUGGUCAACUAUGGCUCAUCUGUGAAUUCAUUUACCCCUGGUUUCCCAGUGAUCGAAAGAACCGCAUGCUCCCGUCAGCUGCACCAUCUUCAGCAUCACCAACCCCAGGACUCUCACAAAGUUCCUGCAGCAGAUGGAGCACCUUCCAUCAAGGACCUCAUUGCACCUUACAAAUGUCAUGACUCAUCAAAGCCCUUCCAUAAUGGAGGUAUCUGUGGUCAUGAUUUUAUGGUUAAAGAAGCACAAAGAAGGCUGGCCUUGAAUUUAUUAUGUAGUCCAGGCUGGCCUCAAACUUGCAGCAAUCAUCCUGCCUCAGCCUCUUGAAUGGUAGAAUUACAGUUGUGUGGCAUAGUGCCCAGCUAAAUAAUUGACACUAGUCAACAGAGACCAAAGAGGAGUAUCAUAAAAAAGGACUACAAUGUGAUUGUGACUUUAUAACUCAGCAUAUGGAUGCCCAAAUAUCUGCUUCCUUUCCGGUGUUGGAGAGAGCUUCUUUAUAAGUGCUCAGCCAUACAGGAGGCUUUGAAAAGGCCAAGUCAUAGCAGCCACGUGAUCAGAGGAGACUUGGCAAGACCUCUUCCAUUGACUGAGUGUCUCUUUCUGGACCUUGCACUUGCAAGGCAGGCAGUGGAACCACUGAGCUAAAUCCUCAAUCCUGAAUAGAAGAGUUUUGAAAUAUUUUAUUGGGACACAGUUGGCUUUUAAAAACAGAUGUCUUUUUGGUGCUUAGAGGAGGCCUGAGCCAAGCAGGCCUUGAAGUGCUGGACAUUCAUGCCCAUCUUCUUCCCGAG
rnacentral:lncRNA from 1 species